AUACGUAGGGUGCAAGCGUUGUUCGGAAUCACUGGGCGUAAAGCGCGCGUAGGCGGCUUGGUCAGUCGGAUGUGAAAGCCCCGGGCUUAACCUGGGAAUUGCAUUCGAUACUGCCAGGCUAGAAUGUAGUAGAGGGUAGUGGAAUUCCGGGUGUAGCGGUGAAAUGCGUAGAUAUCCGGAGGAACAUCAGUGGCGAAGGCGACUACCUGGACUAACAUUGACGCUGAGGUGCGAAAGCGUGGGGAGCAAACAGGAUUAGAAACCCCAGUAGUCC
rnacentral:rRNA from 1 species